AUUGAACGCUGGCGGCAUGCUUUACACAUGCAAGUCGAACGGUAACGCGGGGCAACCUGGCGACGAGUGGCGAACGGGUGAGUAAUGCAUCGGAACGUGCCCGGUAGUGGGGGAUAACUGCUCGAAAGAGCAGCUAAUACCGCAUACGACCUGAGGGUGAAAGGGGGGGAUCGCAAGACCUCUCGCUAUUGGAGCGGCCGAUGUCGGAUUAGCCAGUUGGUGGGGUAAGGGCCCACAAAGGCGACGAUCCGUAGCUGGUCUAAGAGGACGACCAGCCACGCGGGGACGGAGACACGGACCAGACUCCUACGGGAGGCAGCAGUGGGGAAUUUUGGACAAUGGACGCAAGUCUGAUCCAGCCAUGCCGCGUGCGGGAAGAAGGCCUUCGGGUUGUAAACCGCUUUUGUCAGAGAAGAAGUCUUCUGGGUUAAUACCUCGGGAGGAUGACGGUAUCUGAAGAAUAAGCACCGGCUAACUACGUGCCAGCCGCCGCAGUAAGAC
rnacentral:rRNA from 1 species